AUGGUCGCGCACUCCCCCCUGAUGACCGAUGUGAUCCGUAAUUUUAGGAUCAUCCUCAACCUCCCUCCCCUCGAAUUCGCACAGAUUCGCUCCAUCCCCAACUUCCCCGGUGCCCUACCGCCUCCUCCCCUCAUGGCCGCCCCUCCCUAGCCGUCCGUCCUGCACGCAGACUCUCGCUGCAGACCCCGUCUGGUCUGCCCGCAGACCCGCCGCUCCCUCCUCGCCGUCCUUCAAUUCUGCCUCUGCCGCCCCUCUCUCUUGCAGCGGAGCAGAAGCGGAAGCGCCGGGAGAAGAUCAACCGACGAUCCAUUGAGCUAUCCACCGUCAUCCCCGGCCUCAACAAGAUGGACAAGGCGAUGAUCCUUUCAGACACCAUGAAGUACGUCAAGCAAUAGCAGGAAAAUCUCAAGGCACUCGAGGAAGCGACCUCCAGAGCAUCCAGUACGCGGUGCUUGUCAGGAAGUUGUGCACAGCCGCGCCAGAAGACGUCGGCUGCUGCUGCCCGUCAUCGUCCGCAGCGGGCGUAGCUGGAAGCACAACACCGACGACCAGGAAAGUGCUGCUGGAGGCGAGAAGGACAGCUGGAGUCGCCGCCGUCGCUUAUGGAGCUCCACACCAUUGCCCAGUUGUACAAUAGCAUGUGCAAUCUUCUCCAUUCAAGACUAAGUGCAAAUGGUGAACUCUUUGCCAAACAAGAAGAUAUGAGGAUCAGGCAUAUAGGCCCCCAUAAGGAACAUGGAGAGAUGAAUCUGGUCGAUUGUAGCCACAAGGUGAGUGGCUUGAUCCUUAAUUAAUCCAGUUAAAUUUCAUGGAUUAUUGAUUAGUUUUUCAGCAAGCAAAUUUUUCUACAUCUGAUUGUAGGGAUACUGAUGUAGUAUUUGGGAGAAAGAGUACGUCUGCACCUGAUGGUGAUAUGCCAAAGUUUUGUAUUUUCUAGGUAAAUUUGCUACAUGGGAAGAUUCCUCAAUGGCAACAAUACACCAUGAUAGUGAUAAUGAUAUACAUCCUAUGCUAAACAAGAGCAAGACAGAAAAGAGUAAAAGAUUCUCCCCGAAGUAAUUACGGAUUGCUAUUUUCAAUUCUAAGUAAUAAAGAAUAUAAGGUUACAAUUCAUCACCUGAAAAAACAUAUCUUUGUAGUCAUAGUAAUGUCUUCUCCAACUGACCAUACCCUUAAGCAUUUGAUGAAAGUGGAUAUAUCAUCAAGAGCCCUGCAAGCAAAUUUAUCUACAAUAGGAAACACACGAUGAUGAAAUAUCAGAUAUUCCAAAUCACUAUAUGAAAUGUUUAAUGUUUACUUCCCCUUGUAACGUUAGCUUAUCUAGCAAAUUUCUGUUAUUCUGUACAUCUGAUUGUUAAAUUUCAAAUAGUACAGGAACCAGAUAUCCAGAUAUAAUUAGAGUAGGGAUCGACACUAACUAAACCUCUUGACACGCUCAUUUGAAAGUCAAGUAUAUUUAUGUAGCAACGCCUUAUUACUCCUACAGAAGAUACCACUACUGCUGCUCAUAGAAGAGAUAUUACGCCAUCAGUUGAGUUUAGCUCAAUCUGCAGUUUUCAUUACAAUGCAUGAAUCUUAUUUAUCUUGCUUCAAAUGAACAAACAAGAGAGGAUGAAGUACCCAUCUUCCAGUCAUCUGGCAAGCAACAGUCCAGUGCAUAUUGCAGACCUUCUUAGCAAUCAUCAUCGAGUGCCAUUGUAUCUUGAUUAACACAAUUGUACAGGGAUCUUGAAUAGCACAUCAAACAGAGGCACGCCUAAUUGAAAUUACAUUGGUACAUUAGUGCACGGUAAACUGCACAGUACGAAUUAAAAUUUAAGUGCAAAGAUAGGAUAAUCCAGAGUAGACACGUAAUAAUGUCUAAGAACUAAGAUCAAAUGAGAAUUAAACCUGACGGACAAUACAACAAUGAAAAUUCAUUUCACAAUAACAUAGCUCAUACCAGUGGAGGCAUCGAACUGUGCCCAUAUAUUUUUGCGCAUCCACGCCCGCUCCUUGUUGUCUUGUUGCGGGCAUCCGCGCUGGGUCGCCCGCGAGCAUGCUGAGCUCGAGCGCAUCCUUCGGCACUUCAGCCAGCGGAUUCGAAGAAGGACGGGGAAGAACAGGGGCGUGGAAGUCUCGCACCUCCAACGGAGCCUAGCGCUGGGAUGCUCCCGUGCAUGCCGAGCUCGGGGACCUCCUCGGCCACUUGGGCCCGAGGAGGCGGGGAGAGGGAGC